GCCCAGGCGUCCGGGCAAACCCCCACCCGCAGGGGCCCAGGCGUCCGGGAGCCCCCCAGUGUCCCACCAACCCCAGGGGCCCAGGCAUCCGGGAGCCCCCCCAGUGUCCCACCAACCCCAGGGGGCCCAGGCGUCCGGGAGCCCCCCCAGUGUCUCACCAACCCCAGGGGCCCAGGCGUCCGGGAGCCCCCCCAGUGUCCCACCAACCCCAGGGGCCCAGGCGUCCGGGCACCCCCCACCCACAGGGGCCCAGGCGUCCGGGUGCUCCCACCCCCCAGGGGACCCGUGGGGAGGACGGGAGGGGGAUUGUGGGGCACCCGGCAGGGUUUCGGGGUGCUAUGGGUCAUUUUGGGGUGCUACGGGGGCCAUUUGGGGCGACUGGGGGAGGAUUCGGGGUGCAACGGGCCUAUUUUGGGGUGCAACGGGGGCAUUUGGGGGGGUCUCGGGUGGGACGGGAGCUUGCAGCCUCCUUGGGGGGCUGGGGGGCAGUUUUGGGGUGCAGCAGGGCCGUUUUGGGGUGCACUGGGGCAGUUUGGGGGCACAACGGGGUGGUUUUGGGUUGCAACAGCGCCGUUUGGUGUAGUCGGGGGUGCAGCGGGGCAAUUUGGGGGCGCACUAGGCAGUUUGGGGGUGCAUCGCUGCUGUUUUGGGGUGCAGCAGCACAGUUUGGGGCGCAGCAGGGCCGUUUUGGGUUGCGACGGUGCCGUUUGGGGCAGUUUGGUGUUGCAACGGCAUCGUUCGGUGCAGUCGCGGGCGCGUUGGGGCAGUUUUGGGGCGCAGUGGGGCAUUUUUGGGGUGCAGCAGGGCGUUUUUGGGGUGCAGUGGGGCAGUUUCACAUUGCAACAGCACCAUUUGGGGCAGUUCGGGGCAGUUCGGCCUUGCAACGGCGCCGUUUGGAGCCGCAACGGUGCCGUCUGGCGCAGUCGCGGGCGUGUUGGGGCAGUUUUGGGGCGCGGCAGGGCGGUUUUGGGGCACCGGGGGGCAGUUUUGGGGUGCAGUGGGGCAGUUUUGGGGUGCAGUGGGGCAUUUUUGGGGUGCAGCGGGGCAUUUUCACAUUGCAACAGCACCGUUUGGGGCAGUUUGGGGCAGUUCAACCUUGCAACGACGCCGUUCGGUGCAGUCGCGGGCGCGUUGGGGCAGUUUUGGGGCGCAGCAGGGUGGUUUUGGGGCGCCGGGGGAGCAUUUUGUGGGCACAGCGGGGCAUUUUUGGGGUGCAGCGGGGCAGUUUCACUUUGCAAC
rnacentral:lncRNA from 1 species